UUUUCAAACUAUAAUAUGGCUUCAAAUUUUUUUCGUUUCUGUUUUGCUUCUCAGUUUAGUUUCAUGGAUAUGCAGUACCGAUUCAAAGAAGAAACAGAUGGGAUGAAGAAGGAAGCCAAGCCAAUAACCAUACAGCUUUUUCUUUACAGUGGGAUAGCCGCGUAUGUGAUACACACUGUUUGUUGUUGAGCUUCAACAGCGGAUCAAAUGUCUCAGUGCUGCAUGGAAGCAUGAGAGGACGUGUUUAUAUCUUGAGCUCGGGAUCACAUCUCAGUGAUUCCAUGAUCUAUUCUUGAAAUUUCGGCCGAGACAAAUAUGAAAGAUUGCAAGACUGCAGAAGUGUGGUAAGUAAGAAGUGGAUUAGAGCGGGAAGAAAAACGUUUUCCUGCCCUCGAGCCGACAUGGAGGUGUUCACUUACCGUUCAUUUGAAAGUUCUGUAUGUCUGAUCGUGUGCCGUCUGCUCCGACAUGAAGCAAAAACGUUUACAGUUGAUCAGUUGCUUAGUGGAAUUCGCUUGCAAGUUUGUGAGGUGAAUUCUUGGGGUAUGGGUUUUAUGUUAAACUCAAUUGAUGAGCUUUGCAUUCUCAGAGCGCUUGGAUGCAUGGAAGGCCUUCAAGGGCGCCUUGAGUUCAUGAGGUUCUUUGAAUUUCUCACUGUGGCCGCCCAGUGCAAACAGUGCACCUGUCCGGUACCCAAAUUGUUAUGGGGCACUUCUACCUUAGCGAAUCGCGAUAGCGUGGACCAGAGUCUUUCUUUCAGACCAGUGCCCUUCCGUCGCAGCUUUCCUUAUCGGCCUCUUGACCUCCGAAAUUGCCGCAGAAAUCGCCCAAAACUCGACUGAAUUUUACAGAAUCGGUGGCAUCGUUCACCGCUGCAUUCCCUCUAUGCGCAGCUCAUUAAGCCUUCUCGAUACUCUUGGUCCGGGCACACGAUUCAGACGAAAGAUGGGUACUUAAUGGGUUUGAGAUAUGAAGGACUAUGUCGUGUUUGUUAGUGCAAUUUCUGUUUGGUUUGAGACGUGAACGGGCUAAUGAGAUUGCUUUGGUGGGGGCUGAUCUGCGAGUAAAAUAUUGAUUCUCUGGACACUUGGUUAGUGAAAAGCCUAACUUUUAUAGCUCCUUCCAAUUUUUUCAACAUAUUGGUCCCAAUAAGUUUAUUAUUUCAAAAUUUGAACGUAUAGCUCACUAUUUGGUGCUCCCUCAUCUGAAGUUUUCAGGUUCUGUUGAAAUUUCCUUUUCUUGAAACUAACUAGUGGGUAAAGUGAUGAACAUCCAUGCGAUACAUGUUAAAUUAGGCUCUAAUAUGCUUCAAACUCAAUUGAACUUGGUAACUGGAUUUUCUUGAUCUUAACUAGGUGAUGCAUGAUUCUUAAAUUCUCCAGCAGAAUCGCUGGGAUUCGUCCUUGCAGAUGAAGGUUUCGUUGUAUGGGUAGGGAAUGUGUGUGGAACACGUUGAAGUCAUGGACACAUAUGUUUAUCAGAAGAGAAUAAGGUUUAUGCUUUAUUGUAGGAUUAUUGGGAUUGGAGUUCGCAGGAAUUGGCUCUAUUUGUAUUGUCAGAAAUAUGUGCUGCAUAUAUUCGACAACAAGCUCCAAAGUCUUUGUUGUUGGACAUUCACGGGGAACAAUCAUGCCUUUAGCUGCUCUCACCUAGCCGGAUAUAGCAGAACUGGUUGAAGCUGCCGCUCUUUUCUGUCCAAUAUCAUACUUGGAGCAUAUCACUUCUAAAUUUGCACUUAGAAUGGUCAUCAUAUAUAAUGAUCAGUGAAUGGGGCGUCAACUUUUUGGAUUCAAUAUGUGGUGGCCAUGUUGACUACUUGGACUAGUUGUAUAUGAUUUUGCUUUUCGUCGUCAGGGUUUAAAUACUAUGUUCCCCGUUGUAUGUUCUCUUUAAGUAAUAUAAUAUGGGCAUAAGGGUCUAACCCCCCAGCUUUGACUA